rnacentral:rRNA from 1 species
AGAGUUUGAUCCUGGCUCAGGACGAACGCUGGCGGCGUGCUUAACACAUGCAAGUCGAACGGAAAGGCCCUGCUUGCAGGGUGCUCGAGUGGCGAACGGGUGAGUAACACGUGGGUGAUCUGCCCUGCACUUCGGGAUAAGCUUGGGAAACUGGGUCUAAUACCGGAUAGGACCAUGGCCUGCAUGGGUUGUGGUGGAAAGCUUUUUGUGGUGUGGGAUGGGCCCGCGGCCUAUCAGCUUGUUGGUGGGGUGAUGGCCUACCAAGGCGACGACGGGUAGCCGGCCUGAGAGGGUGUCCGGCCACACUGGGACUGAGAUACGGCCCAGACUCCUACGGGAGGCAGCAGUGGGGAAUAUUGCACAAUGGGCGCAAGCCUGAUGCAGCGACGCCGCGUGGGGGAUGACGGCCUUCGGGUUGUAAACCUCUUUCACCAUCGACGAAGGCUUGCCUUUUUGGGUGGGUUGACGGUAGGUGGAGAAGAAGCACCGGCCAACUACGUGCCAGCAGCCGCGGUAAUACGUAGGGUGCGAGCGUUGUCCGGAAUUACUGGGCGUAAAGAGCUCGUAGGUGGUUUGUCGCGUUGUUCGUGAAAUUCCCUGGCUUAACUGGGGGCGUGCGGGGCGAUACGGGCAGACUGGAGUACUGCAGGGGAGACUGGAAUUCCUGGUAGCGGUGGAAUGCGCAGAUAUCAGGAGGAACACCGGUGGCGAAGGCGGGUCUCUGGGCAGUAACUGACGCUGAGGAGCGAAAGCGUGGGGAGCGAACAGGAUUAGAUACCCCGGUAGUCC